GUUAGCUUUGGUAGUACAUCUGCUAAAAUUAGACUGAUAAGGAAAUGAUUAGCAUGGCUCCUGAGCAAGAAUGAGGCACAAAUUCCAGAAGUAUUCUAUUAUUUA
ensembl:snRNA U6 U6 spliceosomal RNA